rnacentral:rRNA from 1 species
GACGAACGCUGGCGGCGUGCCUAAUACAUGCCAGUCGAGCGAAGCUUUCCUGGUUCUUGCCCCGGAAAAACUUAGCGGCGAACGGGUGAGUAAUACGUACAGAACCUGCCACAUAGACUGGGACAACUAUCGGAAACGAUAGCCAAUACCGGAUAACAGCACUAAUUGCACGGCUGAUGUUUAAUAGUUGGUUUUGCUAACACUAUGAGAUAGCUUUGCGGUGCAGUAGAUCGUUGGUGGGGUAAAGGCCUACCAAGGCGGCGAUGGAUAGCGGACCUGAGGGGGAGGUUGACCAGACUGUGAGAGAGGCACGGCCCAGACACCUACGGUGAGCAGCAGUAGGAAAUCUUCCGGGAUGGACGAGAGCCGGACGGAGCGACAUCGCGUAAGUGAUGAAGGAUUUCGGUUGGUAAAACUCUGUUGUUAGGGAGAAAGGAAUAUGUAGUAACUGGAGACGGUAAUGACGGUACCUGGCCAGAAAGCCACGGCUAACUACGUG